GCUGGGCGUGGUGGUGGGUGCCUGUAAUCCCAGCUACUGGGGAGGCUGAGGCAGGAGAAUCGCUUGAACCCAGGAGAUGGAGGUUGCAGUGAGCUGAGAUCACUGUACUCCAGCCUGGGCAACAGAGUGAGACUCUGUCUCAU
rfam:Pan troglodytes isolate Yerkes chimp pedigree #C0471 (Clint) chromosome X, whole genome shotgun sequence.